GAUCUUCCACCUCUACUUAUGUGACUGCAGAGAGGAGGACAGAGAACAGUGGACACACAGUUCAACAUGAUGGACUACAGGACAGGACUGCUGCUUCUAACUUUCUGCUGGGCAGGUGUUGAUGGUCAGACUCUGACAGAAUCUGAACCAGCAGUUAAAAGGCCUGGAGACGCUCACAGAUUAACAUGUACAACAUCUGGAUUCACAUUUAGUAGCUAUGGUAUGCACUGGAUCAGACAGGCUCCUGGAAAAGGACUGGAGUGGAUCUCUGCUGCUGACACUGGGAGCGGAAAAUACUAUUCUCAGUCAGUUCAGGGCCGGUUUACCAUCUCCAGAGACAACAGCAGACAGCAGCUGUAUCUGCAGAUGAGCAGUCUGAAGACUGAAGACUCUGCUGUUUAUUAUUGUGCUCGAGACUCACAGUGA